rnacentral:rRNA from 1 species
CACGUAGGGUGCGAGCGUUGUCCGGAAUUAUUGGGCGUAAAGGGUGCGUAGGCGGGCAGGUAAGUCAGUGGUGAAAUCUUCGAGCUUAACUCGGAAACUGCCAUUGAUACUAUUUUGUCUUGAAUAUGGUGGAGGUGAGCGGAAUAUGUCAUGUAGCGGUGAAAAUGCUUAGAUAUGACAUAGAACACCAAUUGCGUAGGCAGCUCACUAC